rnacentral:pre_miRNA from 1 species
GAAUUUGAAGCUCAGGCAAGAUGUUGGCAUAGCUGAUAGUUAUAAAUUAUUCAGUUAUGCUAUAUGUUGCCAGAACUUUUU